rnacentral:rRNA from 1 species
CAUGCAGUCGAACGGAAACGAUGGAAAGCUUGCUUUUCAGGCGUCGAGAGGCGGACGGGUGAGUAACGCGUGGGAAUCUACCCUAUAGUUGGGGACAACAUAUGGAAACGUAUGCUAAUACCGAAUAUGCUCUACGGAGUAAAGGAGCCCUCUUCAUGAAAGGUUUCGCUAUAGGAUGAGCCCGCGUUAGAUUAGCUAGUUGGUGAGGUAAAGGCUCACCAAGGCCACGAUCUAUAGCUGGUUUGAGAGGAUGAUCAGCCACACUGGGACUGAGACACGGCCCAGACUCCUACGGGAGGCAGCAGUGGGGAAUAUUGCACAAUGGACGCAAGUCUGAUGCAGCCAUACCGCGUGUGUGAAGAAGGCCCGAGGGUUGUAAAGCACUUUCAGUAGGGAGGAAGAUAGUAAGGUUAAUACCCUUAUUGUUUGACGUUACCUACAGAAGAAGCACCGGCUAACUCUGUGCCAGCAGCCGCGGUAAUACAGAGGGUGCAAGCGUUAUUCGGAAUUACUGGGCGUAAAGCGCGCGUAGGCGGAUAAUUAAGUCAGUUGUGAAAGCCCUGGGCUCAACCUAGGAACUGCAUCUGAUACUGAUUGUCUAGAGUUUAAGAGAGGGAAGUGGAAUUCCAGGUGUAGCAGUGAAAUGCGUAGAUAUCUGGAGGAACAUCAGUGGCGAAGGCGACUUCCUGGC